rnacentral:rRNA from 1 species
AUUGAACGCUGGCGGCAUGCCUUACACAUGCAAGUCGAACGGUAACGGGCCUUCGGGUGCCGACGAGUGGCGAACGGGUGAGUAAUACAUCGGAACGUGCCCGAUCGUGGGGGAUAACGAGGCGAAAGCUUUUCUAAUACCGCAUACGAUCUACGGAUGAAAGCAGGGGACCGCAAGGCCUUGCGCGGACGGAGCGGCCGAUGGCAGAUUAGGUAGUUGGUGGGAUAAAAGCUUACCAAGCCGACGAUCUGUAGCUGGUCUGAGAGGAUGAUCAGCCACACUGGGACUGAGACACGGCCCAGACUCCUACGGGAGGCAGCAGUGGGGAAUUUUGGACAAUGGGCGCAAGCCUGAUCCAGCCAUGCCGCGUGCAGGAUGAAGGCCUUCGGGUUGUAAACUGCUUUUGUACGGAACGAAAAGCCUUCUUUUAAUACAGGAGGGUCAUGACGGUACCGUAAGAAUAAGCACCGGCUAACUACGUG